CAGUAGCCGCGGUAAUACGUAGGUCCCGAGCGUUGUCCGGAUUUAUUGGGCGUAAAGCGAGCGCAGGCGGUUAGAUAAGUCUGAAGUUAAAGGCUGUGGCUUAACCAUAGUACGCUUUGGAAACUGUUUAACUUGAGUGCAAGAGGGGAGAGUGGAAUUCCAUGUGUAGCGGUGAAAUGCGUAGAUAUAUGGAGGAACACCGGUGGCGAAAGCGGCUCUCUGGCUUGUAACUGACGCUGAGGCUCGAAAGCGUGGGGAGCAAACAGGAUUAGAUACCCCAGUAGUCCCUGUUUCUUAUACC
rnacentral:rRNA from 1 species